CCUGCCUGUGCUGGUAUCAGAAACAGCAGAAAAGUUUAAGAGACAGAAUUUUAUACAAUUCUUCUCUUAGGUGGAUUUACUAGCGUGUGUGUGGAUGGGAGUAUAAGCUAUUGAAAGUCCAGUCUAGUGAAAAAGUUGGGCUUAGAAUCAACCAGCAGCACCAAAGCCACAACAGAGAUGCUGACGAAGUUCUGCAUAGGAUCUGAGCAUCUGAAGGUCCUUCUGACUUCUCUUCUGCAGAGAAAUGGGAGAGGACAUUAAGUGUAGUGUGUCUCAUAGAAGAGCUAAGGAGUGAUCUCAGUGAAUAAUGUGUGGAUGGAUUAAAAAGAAAAUUGAAUCAGUGUUCUUGAAUCUUGUGUGAAUUCCAUCAAGAAAAUCUUUCAUAUGAAUUUGAACCUAAUGACCUGUAUGUUUCUUCAAUGAGAUUGGUAGAUGCAUGAAUGUAACAAUACUAUCUGUCGUGAUCACUACUGUAUAGCUGAAGUAACCUUUUCUACGUUGGAGUUGUUCUCUCUGUAAGUUUUUCAUAGUAACUGAUAAAUUUCAAAAGCAACAAUGUAAAUCUUACAUAAUUUAAUCCAGAAUUCAUCAA